rnacentral:rRNA from 1 species
UACGUAGGUGGCAAGCGUUGUCCGGAUUUACUGGGCGUAAAGAGCGCGCAGGCGGUCGGAUAAGUCGAAUGUGAAAGCCCCCCGGCUCAACUGGGGAGGGUCAUUCGAUACUGUUCGACUCGAAGGCAGGAGAGGGAAGUGGAAUUCCCGGUGUAGUGGUGAAAUGCGUAGAUAUCAGGAAGAACACCCGUGGCGAAGGCGGCUCUCUGGGACGGUACUGACGCUGAGACGCGAAAGCGUGGGGAGCGAACAGG